CGCUUCUUUCCUCCCGAGUGCUUGCACUCAAUUGGAAAGAGGAGUGGCGGACGGGUGAGUAACACGUGGGUAACCUACCCAUCAGAGGGGGAUAACACUUGGAAACAGGUGCUAAUACCGCAUAACAGUUUAUGUCGCAUGGCAUAAGAGUGAAAGGCGCUUUCGGGUGUCGCUGAUGGAUGGACCCGCGGUGCAUUAGCUAGUUGGUGAGGUAACGGCUCACCAAGGCCACGAUGCAUAGCCGACCUGAGAGGGUGAUCGGCCACACUGGGACUGAGACACGGCCCAGACUCCUACGGGAGGCAGCAGUAGGGAAUCUUCGGCAAUGGACGAAAGUCUGACCGAGCAACGCCGCGUGAGUGAAGAAGGUUUUCGGAUCGUAAAACUCUGUUGUUAGAGAAGAACAAGGACGUUAGUAACUGAACGUCCCCUGACGGUAUCUAACCAGAAAGCCACGGCUAACUACGUGCCAGCAGCCGCGGUAAUACGUAGGUGGCAAGCGUUGUCCGGAUUUAUUGGGCGUAAAGCGAGCGCAGGCGGUUUCUUAAGUCUGAUGUGAAAGCCCCCGGCUCAACCGGGGAGGGUCAUUGGAAACUGGGAGACUUGAGUGCAGAAGAGGAGAGUGGAAUUCCAUGUGUAGCGGUGAAAUGCGUAGAUAUAUGGAGGAACACCAGUGGCGAAGGCGGCUCUCUGGUCUGUAACUGACGCUGAGGCUCGAAAGCGUGGGGAGCAAA
rnacentral:rRNA from 1 species